rnacentral:rRNA from 1 species
UACAGAGGGUGCGAGCGUUGUUCGGAAUUAUUGGGCGUAAAGAGCGUGUAGGCGGUUCGGUAAGUCUGCCGUGAAAACCCAGGGCUCAACCCUGGGCGUGCGGUGGAUACUGCCGGGCUAGAGGGUGGUAGAGGCGUGUGGAAUUCCCGGUGUAGCGGUGAAAUGCGCAGAUAUCGGGAGGAACACCAGUAGCGAAGGCGGCUCGCUGGGCCACACCUGACGCUGAGACGCGAAAGCGUGGGGAGCAAACAGG